GGAAUUAAACAACUAUAACAUAACCCCAUUUAAAGUACAAUGCUGUUGAUAUAACAUGAAAAAUUUCUGGAAAUCUCACAAUAUGCAUCAAUCCGAAAGGUUUUCAUAUAGAAGGCUGUGAAAAUGAUGCAUAGCCUUCUCAACUUGUGGCGCGUAGCGGCCAGAGCAGUAAGCCGGUGAUUCAAGCCCUCUUUGAACACCUUCACAUAACUUUAUAUCCUCCAUCUGUACUGUCUCGCUAUCCUUGAGACCCUGGGCAAUAAAACUCUCAUCACCCUUGACAGAUGAAUCAAGAAAGUAGUCGAAUAUCACUAGACAUUUCCGAGGCCCUUGAGGCAGUACGAGAUUCGUGUCCAUCCAAGGACCGUACCUGUUGAUCAUGAAGUUGGGAUACACGAAUGCAUAUAAAGCUUUUGAUCCAAGUCGAUGAAAAUCUUGGUCCUUCCCCGCACUACCAGUUUCACAUCGUUGGAUGCUGACUUUCUCAAAUAUAGUGGUUGAGUACGACUCAAGUGUCAGACCCGAAGCUAGACCUUUAUGAGCGUAUGGUACAUGAUAACCACCAUCCAAAUAAUUGUCACAAAAGACCUUCCAGUUACAGUCAAUGGCAUAUUCACGUCUGCAUAAAAAGCUCAAUGAAGCAUCCACUCCACCAUCGGCCAAGAUUUGGGAUGAACUACCCAACCAUUCGUUUCCAACCAAGUCAAAAUCGGAUUCUUGUUCAGGCAAAACACCGUUUUCGAAAUUGAGAAGUAUGAAUGGUCCCCAUACAGCUACUCUCAUUGGGAUUAGUCCCAUCUCAUUCACUUUGAAGUUCUUGAUUCCUGUUAUUCGUGUUGCCUUUAGAAGUGCGCCAUCCAAUCCAUAAGUCCAUCCAUGGUAUGGACAAACAAAGCAAGAGCUUUUCCCACUUCCUGAGGCAAGAAGAGAGGCAUGAUGCCGACAAACAUUGUGAAAAGCAUGUAUUUUUCCACCAUCAUCUCGACAUACAACAUACUCGACAUUCCCCAAUCUUCCAGUAAAAUAUUGCCUAGGCUCUUUGAUCUGUUCAGUGUAUCCAACAGAUUGCCA
rnacentral:misc_RNA from 1 species